AUGAACGCUAGCGGCAGGCUUAACACAUGCAAGUCGAGGGGUAGAAGGAGCUUGCUCCUUUGAGACCGGCGCACGGGUGCGUAACGCGUAUGCAAUCUACCUUUUGCAGAGGGAUAGCCCAGAGAAAUUUGGAUUAAUACCUCAUAGUAUGUGAGGAUGGCAUCAUUUUCACAUUAAAGUCACAACGGCAAAAGAUGAGCAUGCGUCCCAUUAGCUAGUUGGUAAGGUAACGGCUUACCAAGGCUACGAUGGGUAGGGGUCCUGAGAGGGAGAUCCCCCACACUGGUACUGAGACACGGACCAGACUCCUACGGGAGGCAGCAGUGAGGAAUAUUGGACAAUGGGCGCAAGCCUGAUCCAGCCAUGCCGCGUGCAGGAUGACGGUCCUAUGGAUUGUAAACUGCUUUUGUACAGGAAGAAACACUACUUCGUGAAGUAGCUUGACGGUACUGUAAGAAUAAGGAUCGGCUAACUCCGUG
rnacentral:rRNA from 1 species